UACGUAGGGGGCAAGCGUUGUCCGGAAUCAUUGGGCGUAAAGCGCGUGUAGGCGGCUCGAUAAGUCUGCUGUGAAAGUUCAGGGCUCAACCCUGAAAUGCCGGUGGAAACUGUCGGGCUAGAGUCCGGAAUGGGCGAGUGGAAUUCCUGGUGUAGCGGUGAAAUGCGCAGAUAUCAGGAGGAACACCAAUGGCGAAGGCAGCUCGCUGGGACGUGACUGACGCUGAGGCGCGACAGCGUGGGGAGCAAACAGG
rnacentral:rRNA from 1 species